rnacentral:rRNA from 1 species
UGUGCCAGCAGCCGCGGUAAUACGUAGGUGGCAAGCGUUGUCCGGAAUUAUUGGGCGUAAAGCGCGCGCAGGCGGUUAUGUAAGUCUGAUGUUAAAGCCCGGGGCUCAACCUCGGUCCGCAUUGGAAACUGCGUAACUUGAGUGCAGAAGAGGAAAGUGGUAUUCCACGUGUAGCGGUGAAAUGCGUAGAGAUGUGGAGGAACACCAGUGGCGAAGGCGACUUUCUGGUCUGUAACUGACGCUGAGGCGCGAAAGCGUGGGGAGCAAACAGGAUUAGAUACCCCGGUAGUCC